AUGCACUUUACACAAACUGUAACAACAAAGAAAUGCGAGACAGAUACAAAGAACAAGAAUCAAAGUUUAUCACAAAAAAACCAGUUCAAAGAACAGCAAAGAAUCGGGAAAAAAUCUUAUGCCAUAAGAACUCCGCUGACCACUGACUCCUAUCAGUGGUGCCGCUCAAAAACCUUCGAAUUGCAAACCGCGUCCGACACGACCACCACCACCUUUGACAGAUUGCUGGCGAACUUGAAGCAGCGGUUCACCGUAUAUCCAUAUCAGAUCUCCACCACUCAGUUUCCUCUUUACACUUAUUUUCAUACGAUUCAUGUUUAA